UGGGGAAUAUUGCGCAAUGGGGGAAACCCUGACGCAGCGACGCCGCGUGGAGGAAGAAGGCCUUCGGGUUGUAAACUCCUUUGGCAGGGGAAGAAGAAGACGGUACCCUGAGAACAAGCCACGGCUAACUACGUG
rnacentral:rRNA from 1 species